GAUGAACGCUGGCGGCGUGCCUAAUACAUGCAAGUAGAACGCUGAAGGAGGAGCUUGCUCUUCUGGAUGAGUUGCGAACGGGUGAGUAACGCGUAGGUAACCUGCCUGGUAGCGGGGGAUAACUAUUGGAAACGAUAGCUAAUACCGCAUGACAACAGUUAUUGCAUGAUAACUGUUUAAAAGGGGCAACUGCUCCACUACCAGAUGGACCUGCGUUGUAUUAGCUAGUUGGUGUGGUAACGGCUCACCAAGGCGACGAUACAUAGCCGACCUGAGAGGGUGAUCGGCCACACUGGGACUGAGACACGGCCCAGACGCCUACGGGAGGCAGCAGUAGGGAAACUUCGGCAAUGGACGGAAGUCUGACCGAGCAACGCCGCGUGAGUGAAGAAGGUUGUCGGAUCGGAAGGCUCGGUUGUAAGAGAAGAACGAGUGUGAGAGUGGAAAGUUCACACUGUGACGGUAGCUGACCAGAAAGGGACGGCUAACUACGUG
rnacentral:rRNA from 1 species